GAUGAACGCUAGCUACAGGCUUAACACAUGCAAGUCGAGGGGAAACGACAUCGAAAGCUUGCUUUUGAUGGGCGUCGACCGGCGCACGGGUGAGUAACGCGUAUCCAACCUGCCCACCACUUGGGGAUAACCUUGCGAAAGUAAGACUAAUACCCAAUGACGUCUCUAGAAGACAUCUGAAAGAGAUUAAAGAUUUAUCGGUGAUGGAUGGGGAUGCGUCUGAUUAGCUUGUUGGCGGGGUAACGGCCCACCAAGGCGACGAUCAGUAGGGGUUCUGAGAGGAAGGUCCCCCACAUUGGAACUGAGACACGGACCAAACUCCUACGGGAGGCAGCAGUGAGGAAUAUUGGUCAAUGGACGAGAGUCUGAACCAGCCAAGUAGCGUGCAGGAUGACGGCCCUAUGGGUUGUAAACUGCUUUUAUAAGGGAAUAAAGUGAGUCUCGUGAGACUUUUUGCAUGUACCUUAUGAAUAAGGACCGGCUAAUUCCGUG
rnacentral:rRNA from 1 species